AGCGGAGGAAAAGAAACCAACAGGGAUUGCCCUAGUAACGGCGAGUGAAGCGGCAACAGCUCAAAUUUGAAAUCUGGCUUCGGCCCGAGUUGUAAUUUGCAGAGGAUGUUUCUGGCGCGGUGCCUUCCGAGUUCCCUGGAACGGGACGCCACAGAGGGUGAGAGCCCCGUAUGGUUGGAUACCAAGCCUGUGUGAAACUCCUUCGACGAGUCGAGUAGUUUGGGAAUGCUGCUCAAAAUGGGAGGUAAAUCUCUUCUAAAGCUAAAUACCGGCCAGAGACCGAUAGCGCACAAGUAGAGUGAUCGAAAGAUGAAAAGCACCUUGAAAAGGGGGUUAAACAGUACGUGAAAUUGUUGAAAGGGAAGCGCUCAUGACCAGACUUGUGCUGGGCAGCUCAUCCGGGGUUCUCCCCGGUGCACUCUGCCCAGUUCAGGCCAGCAUCGAUUUUUGCCGGGGGAUAAGAACGGUAGGAACGUGGCCCUCCUUCGGGUGGGUGUUAUAGCCUACCGUACGAUACCCUGGCGGAGAUCGAGGUUCGCGCAUCUGCAAGGAUGCUGGCGUAAUGGUCAUCAGCGACCCGUCUUGAAACACGGACCAAGGAGUCGUCCAUUAGAGCGAGCGUUUGGGUGUCAAACCCGCACGCGUAAUGAAAGUGAAAUUAGGUGAGAGCUUCGGCGCAUCAUCGACCGAUCCUGAUGUUCUCGGAUGGAUUUGAGUAAGAGUUUUAACGGACGGACCCGAAAGACAGUGAACUAUGCUUGUAUAGGGUGAAGCCAGAGGAAACUCUGGUGGAGGCUCGCAGCGGUUCUGACGUGCAAAUCGAUCGUCAAAUAUGAGCAUGGGGGCGAAAGACUAAUCGAACUG
rnacentral:rRNA from 1 species